CCUACGGGAGGCAGCAGUCGAGAAUUUUUCUCAAUGGGGGAAAACCCUGAAGGAGCGACGCCGCGUGGAGGAUGAAGGUCUUCGGAUUGUAAACUCCUGUCAUUAGGGAACAAUUGUCAGCCAGUAACUACGGCGGACUUGAUAGUACCUGAAGAGGAAGAGACGGCUAACUCUGUGCCAGCAGCCGCGGUAAU
rnacentral:rRNA from 1 species